CCUACGUGAGGCAGUAGUGGGGAAUAUUGCGCAAUGGGCGAAAGCCUGACGCAGCGACGCCGCGUGAGGGAUGAAGGUCUUCGGAUCGUAAACCUCUGUCAGCAGGGAAGAACGGUCACUGUGCUAAUCAGCAGUGAAUUGACGGUACCUGCAAAGGAAGCACCGGCUAACUCCGUGCCAGCAGCCGCGGUAAUACGGAGGGUGCGAGCGUUAAUCGGAAUUACUGGGCGUAAAGCGCUCGUAGGCGGUAUGUCAAGUCAAGGGUGAAAUCCCCGCGCUCAACGUGGGAACUGCAUUUGAAACUGGCAAACUGGAGUGUGUGAGAGGAUAGUGGAAUUCCAGGUGUAGGAGUGAAAUCCGUAGAUAUCUGGAGGAACAUCAGUGGCGAAGGCGACUAUCUGGCACAUAACUGACGCUGAGGAGCGAAAGCGUGGGUAGCAAACAGGAUUAGAUACCCGGGUAGUC
rnacentral:rRNA from 1 species